rnacentral:lncRNA from 1 species
GAUGUACAAAAAUUUAAAAUCUAAAUAUUAACUAAUAUAUUUAAAACAUUAAUACAUUAUUUAUUAUUUAAAGUUUUGAUAUUAGAGUUGAGUCUAGUUUUUAUUUAUUUGUUGCCCAGAACAAUAAAAGCAUCUCACUGGAAUAAUUAUUAAAAUAAAUGUCAACUCGUUAGUUCUUAUAUCCAUUAAUAACGGUAGGUACGGUACUCUAUCAUGUAAAUGCACUAUCGAUCUAGGGUCAACUUUAUGUCAUCUCUAUCCAAUCAUUACCUUUAACACAAGUAAGCAAAUUAUGAUGCUUUGAUUCAGAUAUCAGACUAAUAUUUCAACUCCAAAAUUUACCCCUAUUUUCCAAUAUUUGUUCAUCCACACUUUCUUCCUAUCCGCCACACUAUACCUUUUCUCUUCUGUAUCUCCACGUUAACCUUUGACAAGCCAUACCUUCUUCACUUUCAAAGAAAAUUAAUAUAUGAAACCUACCUGAAAUAUUGAUGUCCAUUUGUAU